rnacentral:rRNA from 1 species
GUGUCAGCAGCCGCGGUAAUACGUAGGUGGCAAGCGUUGUCCGGAAUUAUUGGGCGUAAAGCGCGCGCAGGUGGGAUAUUAAGUCUGGUGUUAAAGUUCGGGGCUCAACCCCGUGAAGCAUUUGGAAACUGAUAUUCUUGAGUGCAGGAGAGGAAAGUGGAAUUCCUAGUGUAGCGGUGAAAUGCGUAGAUAUUAGGAGGAACACCAGUGGCGAAGGCGACUUUCUGGACUGUGUCUGACACUGAGGCGCGAAAGCUAGGGUAGUGAACAGGAUUAGAUACCCUGGUAAUCCUAGCUGUAAACGAUGGGUACUAGGUGUUGGGGGUAUCGACCCCUCCAGUGCCGGAGUUAACGCAAUAAGUACCCCGCCUGGGGAGUACGGCCGCAAGGUUGAA